UACGGCCACAUCACAUUGAAACAAUGGUUCCCGUAUGAUCACAGACGUUUAGCACCGUCGAGCCUGGUAAGCACUUAGAUGGGUGACCGCUUGGGAAUAUCAGGUUCUGUAA